rnacentral:misc_RNA from 1 species
AGAGUUAAACAGUACGUGAAAUUGUUGAAAGGGAAACGAUUGAAGUCAGUCAUGCUAGUAAGGAAUCAACUUGGUGGUUUACUUCCUUGUGUAUUUUCUUGCUCGGCAGGUUAGCAUUAAUUUUUGGUUGUCAUCAAAUAAUUGGGGGAAUGUGGCUUUUCUUCGGAAAAGUGUUAUAGACCUUGAUAGAUGUGACGACUGGGAUUGAGGUUUGCAGCGGAUGCCUUUGGCUAGUCAUCUAUCUUCUGACUGUCACCUCGCUUUUGACAGCUUGCUGAUGAUUGCGGCCUAGAAGUUAGAAUGUACAUAAAUUCGCUAAGGAUGCUGACGUAAUGGCUUUAAACGA